GAUGAACGCUGGCGGCAUGCCUAAGACAUGCAAGUCGAACGAGACGACCUUUGGAUAGCCUUGUGCUUGCACAAAGUUAGAAGAAGAUCAUCGUCUAGUGGCAGACGGGUGAGUAACACGUGGGUAACCUACCUUCAAGCUGGGGAUAACGUUUGGAAACGAACGCUAAUACCGAAUAAGAUAUAGCAAUAUAUUGAAAGAAGCCUUUAAAGCUUCACUUAAAGAUGGGCCUGCGGCGUAUUAACUAGUUGGUGAGGUAAUGGCUCACCAAGGUGACGAUCAGUAGCCGACCUGAGAGGGUGACCGGCCACAUUGGGACUGAGACACGGCCCAAACUCCUACGGGAGGCAGCAGUGGGGAAUAUUGCACAAUGGCGAAAGCCUGAUGCAGCGACGCCGCGUGAGGGAAGAAGGUCUUCGGAUUGUAAACCUUGUUGACAGGGAAGAAGAAAGUGACGGUAC
rnacentral:rRNA from 1 species